AGGAUAAACGCUGGCGGCGUGCCUAACACAUGCAAGUCGAACGUCUCUUCUUUCGGGAAGAGGAGUGGCGGACGGGUGAGGAACACGUGGGAACCUGCCCUUUAGUGAGGAAUACCGGCGAGAAAUCGCCGACAAGACCGCAUAGCCCUCUUUGAUGAGAGUCAAAGAAGGAAAGCUUCGCAAGAGGCGCUAGAGGAGGGGCCUGCGUCCGAUUAGCUAGUUGGUGGGGUAAGAGCCUACCAAGGCGUCGAUCGGUAGCUGGUCUGAGAGGACGAUCAGCCACACUGGGAUUGAGAACGGCCCAGACUCCUACGGGGGGCAGCAGUGAGGAAUUUUCGGCAAUGGGGGAAACCCUGACCGAGCAACGCCGCGUGCAGGAAGACGGCCUCGGUUGUAACUGCUUUCUUUGGAAGAGGAAGGACGGUACCAGAGGAAUCAGCCCGGCUCACUACGUGCCAGCAGCCGC
rnacentral:rRNA from 1 species